UUAAGUCAGAUGUGAAAGCCCCGGGCUUAACCUGGGAACUGCAUUUGAAACUGGUCAACUAGAGUAUGGUAGAGGAAAGUGGAAUUUCUGGUGUAGCGGUGAAAUGCGUAGAUAUCAGAAGGAACAUCAAUGGCGAAGGCAGCUUUCUGGACCAAUACUGACGCUGAGGUACGAAAGCGUGGGUAGCAAACAGGAUUAGAUACCCUGGUAGUCCACGCCGUAAACGAUGAUAACUAGCCGUUGGGGGGAUUUACCCUUUAGUGGCGAAGCUAACGCGUUAAGUUAUCCGCCUGGGGAGUACGGCCGCAAGGUUAAAACUCAAAUGAAUUGACGG
rnacentral:rRNA from 1 species